rnacentral:rRNA from 1 species
CUGCGAGUGAAGCGGCAAAAGCUCAAAUUUGAAAUCUGGCGUCCUUCGGGCGUCCGAGUUGUAAUUUGGAGGAGCGUCUUCGGGAGCGGCACCGUCCUAAGUUCCGUGGAACCGGACGUCACAGAGGGUGAGAAUCCCGUGCCUGGACGGUCUGUCCGUUCCCAUGUGAAGUGCUUCCGACGAGUCGAGUUGUUUGGGAAUGCAGCUCAAAAUGGGUGGUAAAUUUCAUCUAAAGCUAAAUAUUGGCGAGAGACCGAUAGCGCACAAGUAGAGUGAUCGAAAGAUGAAAAGCACUUUGAAAAGAGAGUUAAAAAGUACGUGAAAUUGUUGAAAGGGAAGCGCUUGAGAUCAAACUCGGCCUUUGGCGAAGCUUUGAGUUCGCUCGGAGCCUCUUGCCUUUGGCCGGGCCAGCAUCGGUUUCGGCGGUGGGAGAAACGGUAGAGGAAUGUAGCUCUCUUCGGGGAGUGUUAUAGCCUCUGUCAAAUACCGCCAGUCGGGACCGAGGACCGCGCUUCAAGCUAGGAUGCUGGCGGAAUGGUCUUAAGCGACCCGUC